UACGGAAGGCAGCAGUGGGGAAUAUUGCACAAUGGGCGAAAGCCUGAUGCAGCUAUGCCGCGUGUAUGAAGAAGGCCUUAGGGUUGUAAAGUACUUUCAUCGGGGAGGAAAAAACAAAACUAAUAAUUUUAUUUCUUGACGUUACCCGAAAAAGAAGCACCGGCUAACUCCGUGCCAGCAGCCGCGGUAAUACGGAGGGUGCUAGCGUUAAUCAGAAUUACUGGGCGUAAAGAGCACGUAGGUGGUUUUUUUAAAGUCAGAUGUGAAAUCCCUGGGCUUAACCUGGAACUGCAUUUUGAAACUGAAAUACUAGAGUAUCGUAGAGGGAGGUAGAAUUCUAGGUGUAGCGGUGAAACUGCGUAGAUAUCUGGAGGAAUACCUGUGGCGAAAGCGGCCUCCUAAACGAAUACUGACACUGAGGUGCGAAAGCGUGGGGAGCAAACAGGGAUUAGAUACC
rnacentral:rRNA from 1 species